rnacentral:rRNA from 1 species
CCUACGGGUGGCAGCAGCAAGGAAUAUUGCGCAAUGGGCGAAAGCCUGACGCAGCGACGCCGCGUGGGGGAUGAAGGCCUUCGGGUUGUAAACCCCUUUUCUCAGGGAAGAAUAAUGACGGUACCUGAGGAAUAAGUCACGGCUAACUACGUGCCAGCAGCCGCGGUAAUACGUAGGUGGCAAGCGUUAUCCGGAUUUACUGGGCGUAAAGAGGGCGCAGGCGGCCUGGUAAGUCGGAUGUGAAAUCUCUCGGCUUAACUGGGAGGGGUCAUCCGAUACUGCCGGGCUUGAGGACAGUAGAGGGAGGUGGAAUUCCCGGUGUAGUGGUGAAAUGCGUAGAUAUCGGGAGGAACACCAGUGGCGAAGGCGGCCUCCUAGGCUGUACCUGACGCUGAGGCCCGAAAGCGUGGGGAGCGAACAGGAUUAGAUACCCUGUAGUC